UACAGAGGGGCAAGCGUUAUUCGGAAUUAUUGGGCGUAAAGGGCGCGUAGGCGGCCUGACAAGUGGAAGGUGAAAUCCCUCGGCUUAACCGAGGAACUGCCCUCCAAACUGUUUGGCUUGAGACCGGGAGAGGUGAGUGGAAUUCCCAGUGUAGCGGUGAAAUGCGUAGAUAUUGGGAGGAACACCAGUGGCGAAGGCGGCUCACUGGACCGGUACUGACGCUGAGGCGCGAAAGCGUGGGGAGCGAACAGG
rnacentral:rRNA from 1 species